GACGUAGGAGGCGAGCGUUGUCCGGAUUCAUUGGGCGUAAAGAGCACGCAGGCGGUUUGGCAAGUCGGAUGUGAAAUCCCGAAGCUCAACUUCGGGCCUGCGUCCGAAACUGCCCGACUAGAGGUAGGUAGGGGAGAUCGGAAUUCCUGGUGUAGCGGUGAAAUGCGCAGAUAUCAGGAGGAACACCGGUGGCGAAGGCGGAUCUCUGGGCCUUACCUGACGCUCAGGUGCGAAAGCUAGGGGAGCGAACAGG
rnacentral:rRNA from 1 species